rnacentral:rRNA from 1 species
AACCUCUUUUAUCAAGGAAGAAGAUCUGACGGUACUUGAUGAAUAAGCCACGGCUAAUUCCGUGCCAGCAGCCGCGGUAAUACGGGAGUGGCAAGCGUUAUCCGGAAUUAUUGGGCGUAAAGCGUCCGCAGGCGGUCUUGAAAGUCUGUUGUUAAAGCGUGGAGCUUAACUCCAUUUCAGCAAUGGAAACUGCAAGACUUGAGUGUGGUAGGGGCAGAGGGAAUUCCCGGUGUAGCGGUGAAAUGCGUAGAUAUCGGGAAGAACACCAGUGGCGAAGGCGCUCUGCUGGGCCAUAACUGACGCUCAUGGACGAAAGCCAGGGGAGCGAAAGGGAUUA